rnacentral:lncRNA from 1 species
GGGGGCUCCCAGCUGGACAGGGGGGCACCACAGGGGAUGGGACCCCGGGCAUCUCUCCCAGCUGGGCUCCAUCCCACUGGGGCUGGUUUCCAGGCUGGGAAUGGGGACGUGCAGCAGGUCCUGAUUGUGGCCUGGUGGCUGCUUUGUCUGGGACUCAGCACUGGGAGCCUGUGGUGGUGCAGCACAGCCCAGGGGACACUCACCUGUCCCCUCCCAAACUCACCUGUCCCUUCCCUCCCCAGCAAUGCGGGGUCAUCUCCGAACACACCAAGAAGAUGUGCACCAGGUCCCUGCGGUGUCCCCAGCACACGGAUGAGCAGCGCAGGGCAGUCCGGGUUUACCUCCUCGGGCCCUCCGCGUCCCUGCCCGAGGCCGAGGGCGGCGUGGAGAACGACAGCUUCGAGGUGGCCGAGAGCCAGGCCCUGA